UACGUAGGGUGCAAGCGUUGUCCGGAAUUAUUGGGCGUAAAGAGCUCGUAGGCGGUCUGUCGCGUCGGAUGUGAAAAUCCAGGGCUCAACCCUGGACCUGCAUUCGAUACGGGCAGACUAGAGUUCGGGAGAGGGAAGCGGAAUUCCGGGUGUAGCGGUGAAAUGCGUAGAUAUCCGGAGGAAUACCGGUGGCGAAGGCGGCAUCCUGGACCGACAUUGACGCUGAACGGCGAAAGCUAGGGGAGCAAACGGG
rnacentral:rRNA from 1 species